rnacentral:pre_miRNA from 1 species
ACCCACGGCAAUUUGUCUUUAAGGAGGAUGAAUCACUCUAAAGAAAUUGGUCCUAGAUAAGUUUCCCUUCAGAAAAAGCAUCUUGU